rnacentral:rRNA from 1 species
AUUGAACGCUGGCGGCAUGCCUUACACAUGCAAGUCGAACGGCAGCACGGGUGCUUGCACCUGGUGGCGAGUGGCGAACGGGCGAGUAAUACAUCGGAACAUGUCCUGUAGUGGGGGAUAGCCCGGCGAAAGCCGGAUUAAUACCGCAUACGAUCUACGGAUGAAAGCGGGGGACCUUCGGGCCUCGCGCUAUAGGGUUGGCCGAUGGCUGAUUAGCUAGUUGGUGGGGUAAAGGCCUACCAAGGCGACGAUCAGUAGCUGGUCUGAGAGGACGACCAGCCACACUGGGACUGAGACACGGCCCAGACUCCUACGGGAGGCAGCAGUGGGGAAUUUUGGACAAUGGGCGAAAGCCUGAUCCAGCAAUGCCGCGUGUGUGAAGAAGGCCUUCGGGUUGUAAAGCACUUUUGUCCGGAAAGAAAUCCUUGGCCCUAAUACGGUCGGGGGAUGACGGUACCGGAAGAAUAAGCACCGGCUAACUACGUG